ACUCAAAGGAUAUUGUACGUCUAAUGUCAGCUAACCUUUCUCUUUCCUUUGAUGUUUAAUAAAUUAGGAGUUUUGGCAUCGAUGCAUUAUCAGGGACACUUCCAAAGGAACUUGGAAAUCUUACAGAUUUAAUAUCAUUGUCUUUUUCGACAAACAACUUCACUGGUUCUCUCCCAUCUGUGCUUGGCAAUUUAGUGAAAUUAGAACAGCUCUACUUUGAUAGUUCUGGAGAUAGUGGUGCGAUUCCUUCGACAUUUACUAAUUUAAAAAAAGCCUUG